AGUGAACGCUGGCGGUAGGCCUAACACAUGCAAGUCGAACGGCAGCACAGUAAGAGCUUGCUCUUACGGGUGGCGAGUGGCGGACGGGUGAGGAAUACAUCGGAAUCUACUUUUUCGUGGGGGAUAACGUAGGGAAACUUACGCUAAUACCGCAUACGACCUACGGGUGAAAGCAUGGGAUCUUCGGACCUUGCGCGAUUGAAUGAGCCGAUGUCGGAUUAGCUAGUUGGCGGGGUAAAGGCCCACCAAGGCGACGAUCCGUAGCUGGUCUGAGAGGAUGAUCAGCCACACUGGAACUGAGACACGGUCCAGACUCCUACGGGAGGCAGCAGUGGGGAAUAUUGGACAAUGGGCGAAAGCCUGAUCCAGCCAUACCGCGUGGGUGAAGAAGGCCUUCGGGUUGUAAAGCCCUUUUGUUGGGAAAGAAAAGCAGCAAGUUAAUACCCCGCUGUUCUGACGGUACCCAAAGAAUAAGCACCGGCUAACUUCGUG
rnacentral:rRNA from 1 species